UCAGAACUGUGGGGACACAGAACCAAAGAAGAACCCGGGAAUGAAAAGACCGGGGCAAGCACUGGACUGGCUGGAAUGGCAAAUCCACCCAGCAACAGGAAGGUGUGACGCGUACCGAACACAAGUAGGGAAGUCUUCGUAGGGGCUGUCAAGAAAAGCCGCUAUUGUGUAAUAUGUGCCCGUACCGUAAACCGACACAGGUGGAUGAGGAGAGAAUCCUAAGGCCGGCGGGAGAAGCAUUGUUAAGGAACUCGGCAAAAUGACCCCGUAACUUCGGGAUAAGGGGUGCCUGGGAAACCAGGCCGCAGAGAAUAGGCUCAAGCAACUGUUUAGCAAAAACACAGGUCUAUGCAAAACCGAAAGGUGAGGUAUAUGGGCUGACGCCUGCCCGGUGCUGGAAGGUUACGAGGAGGGGUUAGCGGCAACGCGAAGCUCUGAAUUUAAGCCCCAGUAAACGGCGGCCGUAACUAUAACGGUCCUAAGGUAGCGAAAUUCCUUGUCGGGUAAGUUCCGACCCGCACGAAAGGCGUAAUGAUUUGAGCGCUGUCUCAACAAUGCACCCGGUGAAAUUGAAGUACCAGUGAAGAUGCUGGUUACCUGCGCCAGGACGGAAAGACCCCAUGGAGCUUUACUCCAGCUUGAUACUGGGAUUCGGUACUGCAUGUACAGGAUAGGUGGGAGGCUAUGAAGAUAGGACGCCAGUCUUAUCAGAGCCGAUGUUGGGAUACCACCCUUGCGGUAUUGGAUUUCUAACCUGCAGCCAUAACCUGGCUGGGGGACAAUGUCAGGCGGGGAGUUUGACUGGGGCGGUCGCCUCCGAAAGGGUAUCGGAGGCGCUCAAAGGUUCCCUCAGAAUGGACGGAAACCAUUCGAAGAGUGCAAAGGCAUAAGGGAGCUUGACUGCGACACCGACGGGUGGAGCAGGUAGGAAACUAGGACUUAGUGAUCCGGUGGUAUAAAGUGGGAUUGCCAUCGCUCAACGGAUAAAAGCUACCCUGGGGAUAACAGGCUUAUCACUCCCAAGAGUUCACAUCGACGGAGUGGUUUGGCACCUCGAUGUCGGCUCAUCGCAUCCUGGGGCUGUAGUAGGUCCCAAGGGUUGGGCUGUUCGCCCAUUAAAGCGGUACGCGAGCUGGGUUCAGAACGUCGUGAGACAGUUCGGUCCCUAUCCGGCGUGGGCGUAGGAUAUUUGAGAGGAGCUGUCCUUAGUACGAGAGGACCGGGAUGGACUGACCUCUGGUGUAUCUGUUGGCUAUCAAAGCCAUGGCAGAGUAGCCAAGUCGGGAAGGGAUAAACGCUGAAGGCAUCUAAGCGUGAAGCCCCCCUCAAGAUGAGAUAUCCCAUCGCAAGAGUAAGACCCCUUGAAGACGACGAGGUAGAUAGGGCAGAGGUGGAAGCAUGGCAACAUGUGCAGCUGACUGUCACUAAUAGGUCGAGGGCUUAACCAG
rnacentral:rRNA from 1 species